rnacentral:lncRNA from 10 species
AUUGAUCUCAGUGCUCAGUUUUAAAGAUAGUAGAAUGUGGCUUUUUCAAAAGAUUCGUUCUGAGCCGUUUAAAAUGCUCUUGUGUUCUACGAAGUCUCUUUGCAUCCUUGAACACCGGGGAAUUUCCAGGUGGCUAAACAAAAUGUAAUUGUCAGUGUUUUGAGUACAUUUUAGGUUAGUCUUACAGAUCUGCAAUGCAGUGACAGUGCCAGGAUCUGAAAUACGUUGUAAUUGAAUGAAGGCUUAUAGAUCUGUAUGUUAGCAGUGUCUAAUUUUGGUGCUCUUUCUCGUUCCAGGUAUUUCAUUUCUCCUGUCCCCUCCCCUCCCCACCCCAUCUAUUAAUAUUAUUCUUUUGAAGAUUCUUCGUUGUCAAGCCGCCAAAGUGGAGAGUGCGAUUGCAGAAGGGGGUGCUUCUCGUUUCAGUGCUUCUUCGGGCGGAGGAGGAAGUAGGGGUGCACCUCAGCACUAUCCCAAGACUGCUGGCAACAGGUGUGGUAAACAUGUAAAAAAACAGUGAGCUUUAUUUAACAGAUUAAAAGUCUUUCCCAUGUGACGGUAUAAUUAAGGCAAUAGCCAUCAAGACUCCUAAUCUUAAGGGGCGUGGUUUCUGUUGGGUAUCCUAAAUACAGAAUAUCAGUUCCUGAUUAUUCCUUAGCCAAAUUUUCUAAGUGAGUUGAGACUCUCAAGCUGUUAUUUUUUUCCUUAUUCUUUGGGUUAUUUUUACUAAUGUGUUUUUCUGAAAUCAGUAGCUAUUAUUCCUACUGAUUGUUAUUAGUAAAGUAGUACGCACUCAACAUGGUCAAUAA